GCGGCGCGCGGCCUGCGGAGCGCGUUCCCUCCCCCUCAGCCACCCGAGGACUGCGCCCCGAAACCGUGACCCCCCUCAAGGGCCUAGAGUUUGAAGAGCGGGAGUGGCUUUGCCCCCCCGGGGACGAAUUACCUCAGGCGUGGGGCAGGGGAAAGUGACGGGCGUAACGACCCCCUCGGGCCUAGAAGGGAGAGGCAGGUUCUGUCCAGUGAACAUAGCAAGGAGAGCAUCUUGGUCUUGUGCAGGUUGAGUCUGGUGGCCAGGACCUUUCAGGCCUUCAGGUCUGGGUAUGACUCCAUCUUGAAGUGCUUUUCCAGCUCCCAAAACUGCCCCCAAUUGUACUCCUGGUCAAGGAGUACAGGCAACACGGAGAUGCUUCCAUCUUGUCUGCAGCUCACUUCAGGUGUGGUUCCAGUGAUUUUAAUUUUAAUUCAUGGACUAUUCUAAAAAUAUAACAGCCUGGUUUGGUAGAACAUGCCUAUAGCGCCAGCAGCUUGGAAGCAGAGCUGGGAGGAUUCGUACAAAUUCAAAACCAGCCUGAUCAACAGACCUAGUUCUAGUCCUGCCUGGACUAUAAAGUUAGACUCUGUUCCCCUCUCUAGUCAGUGAGUAAGGUUACUUGAUGCCAGAUUUGACAACUGGAGUUCAGUCCCUGGAACCCACAUGGUACAACAGUAGAACAAACUCACACAAUUGUCCUCUGGCCUUCACAUGUGCCAUGGUGUGUGCAUGCCCUCCUCCUAAUAAAUUGCUUUUAAAAAUUCUAAAACAAGAAUAAAUAAAAGCGGAUGUUUCCUUAA